rnacentral:rRNA from 1 species
UGCAAGUCGAGCGCAUCGAUGGGAGCUUGCUCCCUGAAGUGAGCGGCGGAUGGGUGAGUAACACGUGGGUAACCUGCCUGUCAGAUCGGGAUAACUGUGGGAAACCGCAGCUAAUACCGGAUAAUCCUUCGCACCGCAUGGUGCGGAGUUGAAAGAUGGUUUCGGCCAUCACUGACAGAUGGGCCCGCGGUGCAUUAGUUAGUUGGCGGGGUAACGGCCCACCAAGACAGCGAUGCAUAGCCGACCUGAGAGGGUGAUCGGCCACAUUGGGACUGAGACACGGCCCAAACUCCUACGGGAGGCAGCAGUAGGGAAUCUUCCACAAUGGACGAAAGUCUGAUGGAGCAACGCCGCGUGAGCGAAGAAGGUUUUCGGAUCGUAAAGCUCUGUUGCUGGAGAAGAACGAGUGCGAGAGGAAAUGCUCGUACUGUGACGGUAUCCAGCCAGAAAGCCACGGCUAACUACGUGCCAGCAGCCGCGGUAAUACGUAGGUGGCAAGCGUUGUCCGGAAUUAUUGGGCGUAAAGCGCGCGCAGGCGGCUUCUUAAGUCUGAUGUGAAAUCUUGCGGCUCAACCGCAAACGGUCAUUGGAAACUGGGAAGCUUGAGUGCAGAAGAGGAGAGUAGAAUUCCACGUGUAGCGGUGAAAUGCGUAGAUAUGUGGAGGAAUACCAGUGGCGAAGGCGGCUCUCUGGUCUGUAACUGACGCUGAGGCGCGAAAGCGUGGGGAGCAAACAGGAUUAGAUACCCUGGUAGUCCACGCCGUAAACGAUGAAUGCUAGGUGUUAGGGGGGUCCAACCUCUUAGUGCUGAAGUUAACACAUUAAGCAUUCCGCCUGGGGAGUACGACCGCAAGGUUGAAACUCAAAGGAAUUGACGGGGGCCCGCACAAGCAGUGGAGCAUGUGGUUUAAUUCGAAGCAACGCGAANAACCUUACCAGGUCUUGACAUCCUCUGACAAGCCUAGAGAUAGGCCGUUCCCCUUCGGGGGACAGAGUGACAGGUGGUGCAUGGUUGUCCUCACCU